rnacentral:rRNA from 2 species
UUUCAACGGAGAGUUUGAUCCUGGCUCAGGACGAACGCUGGCGGCGUGCUUAACACAUGCAAGUCGAGCGGUAAGGCCCUUCGGGGUACACGAG